rnacentral:rRNA from 1 species
UACAGAGGUGGCAAGCGUUGUUCGGAAUUACUGGGCGUAAAGGGCGCGUAGGCGGCCUGGCAAGUGGAUGGUGAAAUCCCUCGGCUUAACCGAGGAACUGCCAUCCAGACUGCUUGGCUUGAGACCGGGAGAGGUGAGUGGAAUUCCCAGUGUAGCGGUGAAACGCGUAGAUAUUGGGAGGAACACCAGUGGCGAAGGCGGCUCACUGGACCGGUACUGACGCUGAGGCGCGAAAGCGUGGGGAGCAAACGGG